UACGUAGGGACCAAGCGUUGUUCGGAUUUACUGGGCGUAAAGGGCGCGUAGGCGGCCACCGCAAGUCAGUUGUGAAAUCUCUGGGCUUAACCCAGAAAGGUCAACUGAUACUGCGGGGCUAGAGUGCAGAAGGGGCAACUGGAAUUCUCGGUGUAGCGGUGAAAUGCGCAGAUAUCGAGAGGAACACCUGCGGCGAAGGCGGGUUGCUGGGCUGACACUGACGCUGAUGCGCGAAAGCUAGGGGAGCAAACGGG
rnacentral:rRNA from 1 species